AUUAAUAAAUAAAUAAAAUCUUAAAAAAAAAAAGAGUGAUACAGAGGAGAUUUAGCAUGGCCCCUGCACAAGGAUGACAUGUAAAUUCUUGAAGCAGUUCAUAUUAAC